UUAAGCGACUAAGCGUACACGGUGGAUGCCCUGGCAGUCAGAGGCGAUGAAGGACGUGCUAAUCUGCGAUAAGCGUCGGUAAGGUGAUAUGAACCGUUAUAACCGGCGAUUUCCGAAUGGGGAAACCCAGUGUGAUUCGUCACACUAUCAUUAACUGAAUCCAUAGGUUAAUGAGGCGAACCGGGGGAACUGAAACAUCUAAGUACCCCGAGGAAAAGAAAUCAACCGAGAUUCCCCCAGUAGCGGCGAGCGAACGGGGAGCAGCCCAGAGCCUGAAUCAGUGUGUGUGUUAGUGGAAGCGUCUGGAAAGGCGCGCGAUACAGGGUGACAGCCCCGUACACAAAAAUGCACAUGCUGUGAGCUCGAUGAGUAGGGCGGGACACGUGGUAUCCUGUCUGAAUAUGGGGGGACCAUCCUCCAAGGCUAAAUACUCCUGACUGACCGAUAGUGAACCAGUACCGUGAGGGAAAGGCGAAAAGAACCCCGGCGAGGGGAGUGAAAAAGAACCUGAAACCGUGUACGUACAAGCAGUGGGAGCACGCUUCGGCGUGUGACUGCGUACCUUUUGUAUAAUGGGUCAGCGACUUAUAUUCUGUAGCAAGGUUAACCGAAUAGGGGAGCCGAAGGGAAACCGAGUCUUAACUGGGCGUUAAGUUGCAGGGUAUAGACCCGAAACCCGGUGAUCUAGCCAUGGGCAGGUUGAAGGUUGGGUAACACUAACUGGAGGACCGAACCGACUAAUGUUGAAAAAUUAGCGGAUGACUUGUGGCUGGGGGUGAAAGGCCAAUCAAACCGGGAGAUAGCUGGUUCUCCCCGAAAGCUAUUUAGGUAGCGCCUCGUGAAUUCAUCUCCGGGGGUAGAGCACUGUUUCGGCAAGGGGGUCAUCCCGACUUACCAACCCGAUGCAAACUGCGAAUACCGGAGAAUGUUAUCACGGGAGACACACGGCGGGUGCUAACGUCCGUCGUGAAGAGGGAAACAACCCAGACCGCCAGCUAAGGUCCCAAAGUCAUGGUUAAGUGGGAAACGAUGUGGGAAGGCCCAGACAGCCAGGAUGUUGGCUUAGAAGCAGCCAUCAUUUAAAGAAAGCGUAAUAGCUCACUGGUCGAGUCGGCCUGCGCGGAAGAUGUAACGGGGCUAAACCAUGCACCGAAGCUGCGGCAGCGACGCUGAUGCGUUGUUGGGUAGGGGAGCGUUCUGUAAGCCUGUGAAGGUGUGCUGUGAGGCAUGCUGGAGGUAUCAGAAGUGCGAAUGCUGACAUAAGUAACGAUAAAGCGGGUGAAAAGCCCGCUCGCCGGAAGACCAAGGGUUCCUGUCCAACGUUAAUCGGGGCAGGGUGAGUCGACCCCUAAGGCGAGGCCGAAAGGCGUAGUCGAUGGGAAACAGGUUAAUAUUCCUGUACUUGGUGUUACUGCGAAGGGGGGACGGAGAAGGCUAUGUUGGCCGGGCGACGGUUGUCCCGGUUUAAGCGUGUAGGCUGGUUUUCCAGGCAAAUCCGGAAAAUCAAGGCUGAGGCGUGAUGACGAGGCACUACGGUGCUGAAGCAACAAAUGCCCUGCUUCCAGGAAAAGCCUCUAAGCAUCAGGUAACAUCAAAUCGUACCCCAAACCGACACAGGUGGUCAGGUAGAGAAUACCAAGGCGCUUGAGAGAACUCGGGUGAAGGAACUAGGCAAAAUGGUGCCGUAACUUCGGGAGAAGGCACGCUGAUAUGUAGGUGAAGUCCCUCGCGGAUGGAGCUGAAAUCAGUCGAAGAUACCAGCUGGCUGCAACUGUUUAUUAAAAACACAGCACUGUGCAAACACGAAAGUGGACGUAUACGGUGUGACGCCUGCCCGGUGCCGGAAGGUUAAUUGAUGGGGUCAGCGCAAGCGAAGCUCUUGAUCGAAGCCCCGGUAAACGGCGGCCGUAACUAUAACGGUCCUAAGGUAGCGAAAUUCCUUGUCGGGUAAGUUCCGACCUGCACGAAUGGCGUAAUGAUGGCCAGGCUGUCUCCACCCGAGACUCAGUGAAAUUGAACUCGCUGUGAAGAUGCAGUGUACCCGCGGCAAGACGGAAAGACCCCGUGAACCUUUACUAUAGCUUGACACUGAACAUUGAGCCUUGAUGUGUAGGAUAGGUGGGAGGCUUAGAAGUGUGGACGCCAGUCUGCAUGGAGCCGACCUUGAAAUACCACCCUUUAAUGUUUGAUGUUCUAACGUGGACCCGUGAUCCGGGUUGCGGACAGUGUCUGGUGGGUAGUUUGACUGGGGCGGUCUCCUCCUAAAGAGUAACGGAGGAGCACGAAGGUUGGCUAAUCCUGGUCGGACAUCAGGAGGUUAGUGCAAUGGCAUAAGCCAGCUUGACUGCGAGCGUGACGGCGCGAGCAGGUGCGAAAGCAGGUCAUAGUGAUCCGGUGGUUCUGAAUGGAAGGGCCAUCGCUCAACGGAUAAAAGGUACUCCGGGGAUAACAGGCUGAUACCGCCCAAGAGUUCAUAUCGACGGCGGUGUUUGGCACCUCGAUGUCGGCUCAUCACAUCCUGGGGCUGAAGUAGGUCCCAAGGGUAUGGCUGUUCGCCAUUUAAAGUGGUACGCGAGCUGGGUUUAGAACGUCGUGAGACAGUUCGGUCCCUAUCUGCCGUGGGCGCUGGAGAACUGAGGGGGGCUGCUCCUAGUACGAGAGGACCGGAGUGGACGCAUCACUGGUGUUCGGGUUGUCAUGCCAAUGGCACUGCCCGGUAGCUAAAUGCGGAAGAGAUAAGUGCUGAAAGCAUCUAAGCACGAAACUUGCCCCGAGAUGAGUUCUCCCUGACUCCUUGAGAGUCCUGAAGGAACGUUGAAGACGACGACGUUGAUAGGCCGGGUGUGUAAGCGCAGCGAUGCGUUGAGCUAACCGGUACUAAUGAACCGUGAGGCUUAACCUU
rnacentral:rRNA from 1 species